ACAACCAAAACUCACAUACCCUCGGCACAAUCUGAUGCAAAAACAGCCAACUGGGUCCACCGUCACCCUCGACGGCACACGACAGUCCGGAACAGUCUAUACACGGCUGUAAAAAUAAGCUCGACAUCUCAACACGAGCGUAACAGUAUUCUACACUAUUCUGGGUAUCCACCACCCAAAAACUACGGCGAUACAAAUAAAUUACGGCUCUUAGAGCUAAAUCUGGUAGUUUCAGAAGAUGACGGUGUAUAAUCGAUAGUUUUCUCCUAAGUCAAAUCCAAAUCCAACAUGUAUAAUUUUUUUAAACUACCAACUAUGCUCCAAAUUCAAAUUUCAAAGAAUAUCCAAUUCUACGAAUUUGA
rnacentral:lncRNA from 1 species